CAACAGAAAUAUAGUGCCCAGACCAAGGGAUAUGAUAUUCCUACUCUACUUAAAACUGGUCCAAUCAUACUUUAUAUUUUCUACUCAGUUCUGGACACUUCAUUUUAUGGAAAAUUUUAACUAAGGAAGGAAGAGCAGAAUGAGGAAAGAUCUGGAAACCAGGUCAUAUGAGAAAGAAACGAAGGAAUCAGGAAUGUGUUUUACUCUAGAGACAGAAAGACCUAGGGACACACAUGACAGCUGUCUUCAAUAUUUGGAGAAGCAACAUGUGGUAAAGGAAUUGAGUCAUUCUGUUGGCUCCAGAAGGCAGCAAAGAUGUAAGAGCAGUGGGUGCAAAUCCCAAGGAGGCAAAUUCCCAGUCCAUAUGAAGUAUUUUCUAUCACUUGGAGUAGUCCAACAUUAGAGGAAUCUUCCUUAUAAACAAUGAUCCCUCCAUUGCUAGAGGCGUCCAAGCCCAGGACGUUGUAGUAAAGAUUGGGUUAGGGUAUAAAGGACAAGGUCUUUCCAUUCCUUGCAUCUCCAAACUUUUGCUCAGUCUUUGGCUUUGAUUUGCCCCACCUUUAUCCUCUAAGUCCAUCUCAGGUGGGAACUAGUGAGACUGAGAAAAGCAAGAAAUUCCCAGCAGUUGUCGACUUUAGCCCUGAUGUGUCUCGGGAAAUUCACUCACCUGGAAGGAGCAAUAAAGGGUUCUCGGGUUGCCGUCAGCGGGUACGUGGGGAAAGAGAGAAGGGAACAGAGGAGGGUUCAGCAAUGCACUUUCCUCAGCUCUCUCUGUGAGCUAAGAAGCAGCGACACGGUCAUUAAAACAUCCAAAGGCGAUGUUGAUCUGAAAGCUGGGUUAGUAUCUCACUUGGGGGCGCGAAUUUCUCUCCAGAUCUGCCAAAAGCCGGGAGAAAAACCUCUCUCCCUGUUGCCUGAAGCAGAUUUACAGGGCUUCAGACCUCGCUGGAGAGUAGACCCUGCUGCGACUCAGGAAACCACGCCCAGCCCCAGGCUGCAGUAGGAAGGGGCUGGGGGGAAGAAUGGGACCCUCUGUGACUGCAGGAAAACUGAGUCUUGAACCUCGCCUCAGUUGAAAGGAGAGGAUGGAAGGGGGCUCCUGCAGACUGCUGCUGACCCGAAGAAGAAUCUGAGUUAUGUCUCAGCAACUGAACAAACAUUUACAUUUGUCACCAAAAAAACCAAAACACAAAAACCCUUAAAACUAAACUUAAAAGUUCUGGGGAGAAAAAAAGAGAGGGAAUCAGGUCUUUUCUUGUUUCCCAAGGCAGGAGUCGGACGUGGGGAGCAGCCGAUGCAGAAGACAUAAGAGCAGGAGGUGCGUGUGCUGAUUAAACUAAAUGCACACCUAAGACUCUGGUUUUUCUGAAGAUGUGUGUGCCGGAGAGCCGGAGGAAGAGAGAGAGCGAAGCAAAGCGUCCUUGAAUUUGCUCCAGUCUCUCAUAUCACUCUGACUUAGAAAAAACAGAGAGAAGGCAGACCCAUGUCUAUCACAGACAAACCCCUUUUCUUAUUCAAAAAGAGGAAUUUUUAAAAACAAAUUUUUCUCUAAUGAGAUAGAGUUUUCACAACGGGAGGAUUUUGGAAGACAGAUUAUUUUUAGUAGAUUUAUUUAACGCUCUUUUGAAAGUGUGAUUUUUUUUUCAAAAUAGCUUAAGAUGUUAAAGAAUCCAAAGUCAGGACUGGUAUUAGGCACUAACUGGAUGCUAUUUUUCUUUUAUUUUCAUAUCUGUUCCUCUGUUCUUCAUUAUUAAAUUCUAGGGAUAAACACAAGCUCUUUUUCUUUUUCCUACUCAAGGCAGGAAGACUGAGGGAAAGCCUGCUAAACUCUGGGUCCAAACACCCAAAUGAAAACCAGGGAAAAAAAUCAGCUUUCCAGAUCUUUGGUAUUCUGUGAAGAAAAUGUAGGAGAUUAGUCCUGUUUGGGAUUUUUUUGGUUGCUUUGCUUUGUCUUAAUUUUUGCUUUCCUCUGAGUUUAACCACACACCACUGAACACGGAGCGAUGACUAAUUUCUCACCUCCUUGCCUUUUUAUUUCCAUUCUGGAAAUCGUGUAGAGAUAGAUUAGACUGAGGGAUUUUGGGCAAAAGGCCCUCUUCCUUUUCACCUCAAUGCCAAGAACUUUUCUGCUUCCCACUCACACUUCUCAGAAGUUUCAUUUUGCACCAGUUACAGUCGAAAUACAAACUCCAAAGCGUGGAAGAGAAAGAGCAGCUCUCUGCACAGGUAACGGUACCCAGCUCCCUAGCCCCCUUUCUCUGGUUGUUGCAGCCACAUCUGCAAAGCUGUGUACAGGUCAGUUUGCUCUCUGGUCGGGGACACAAGUCACGACACCUGUUCACAGAAAGGUCUGCGAAUGUGUGAAGGAGGCCAGCGUGUCUGUGGGAAUGUGUCAGCAUGUGGAUUUCAACGGGUUUUGAAAUGUUCACACUGUAGGUGGGAGCCUGCAAGCAUGCAGCCCCUUUCAAAGGCAUCUUUGCAAUUCCCCAUUUCCAAGGCACCCAAAUUACUGAAUUUGAAUUGCUGAAUAGAGACCCCAUGCUGGAUUCAGCACUCGCUCCACGCCACAUCACCCUACCCUACCCCACCCCACCCCACCCAUGCCUUCCUGCCUUCCUCUGACUCUUUCUAGCUUCAGCUCCCUGGGUAAGGUCUCUCCUAAGAAAAGUCAAAGUGUGGAGAUUGAAAAUUGAGUUCUGGAAAACGGCUGUGUGUAAACAGGAGAGACAAUGGAGUAACUGGAGGCCGUAGAGGCGGGAAUGGAAGUUCAGGGCUGGAGAAGAACAUGGGAUAGCUCUUCUCACCUCCCGCCAGCCUGUGUUUCCUUACAUACACCUUGAAGGCUUUCCCACUGUGCUGCUUGUUGUCCAGAUUUCACCUCUUCAGACUCCCCAGCCUGAGAAACAACAGCUCCUGGCAGAGGCUGCAGACUGGACUAAAAUGUGGAAUGAGAGAACUCUGGCCAAAAUUGUUAGAGCCAUGCCGGGGACCCUGGAACCUUUGCAUUCCUCAGGUCGCAGAAAUUCCCUCUUUCGAUGUCGUUCUUCCUAGGGGGUCCCUGAUCUGGAAAUCUAACCCCAGAGUGGAGUAAGCGCUAGCAAGCGACUUUUCCUUUUCCUUGACAGCUUCCCCUUCCCUUUUCCUGCCUUAAGUCAGGUUCCUGUUUCUGUGAUCAGGAUCCACGUGUGCAGAUCGAUGGUAGGAAUAAGCAAGAGGAUGUCAUCAACUCCCAACAAUUUUCAAUGAUGGUAACCAACCGCUCCAGACAGGGUGAUCAUCCCGCGGGCUCUGUGAAACUUCCAACGGGUGGUUGUCCUUGCCCCGCAGUUCCAUUAAGCAUUGAAAGUAAUGCUUCCCCUCGCUGUGCCCUUUCAGACCCAAAUAACCCAUGCACUGUCCUGUGUGAGUUCACUUUAUUGACCAUAGAAGGGGAAGACAUCCCAAACAUUUUUAGAAAAGAUAAAAGAAAACCUUGCUCCAUUGAUGCAUAAAGGACGUUGGACUCUGUGGGGCUGAGUCAGGGGAUGAAGAAGAGAAAAGUAGGCUUGUCUGUGACUGGAGCCCCUUGCCUGGAUCUCCCUGCGAAAGGAUGGCUUCUCUGUCCCUUUCCUGCCAACAUUUCUACCAAUCUAAACAUCCAGCUGGGACCUUCAAAUCCUUUCCAUUUCCAAAGUUGAGUCUUUUCUUGAGUUUACACUUGCUAAAGUAAAGGGAGCCCCAACAAAACAAAAACUCUGUGGGCAAACCCUGGGCGUGGACUCUCCCCAAGCUAUAAAGAGAACUGUGUCAUUUGCUGAGAUGGACACCUUUAACCAAUGGAAGCAGCAAGUCUGAUGAUUGCGGUACCAGAUCGGUCUGCGGGUGCAGAGAGGAGGACCAAGGCUGGAGGACUCCAUCCAGCACGUCUCUAAGCAUGUCUCCUAUACCUCAUUUAUUCUUCAACAUCCCCCAUCUUACAUCUGAUGAAAUGGAACCACAGGGA
rnacentral:lncRNA from 1 species